GGAGAGGUGUCCGAGCGGUCGAAGGAGCACGCCUGGAAAGCGUGUGUACCGAAAGGUACCGAGGGUUCGACUAAGACGGCGAAGCCGUCUUGGACGCCGGAGCGCAGCGACGGCGCCCGAAGGGUGAGGGCCGCGGGCCCGAAUCAAUCCCUCCCUCUCCA
rnacentral:tRNA from 1 species